rnacentral:miRNA from 1 species
AAUUGUUAAGUUGUAUAGCUAAAUACAUUACAAAUGCAGGUUCUUAGGGCCCCAUCACAAAAGCAAAUCCCUGGGUUGGGGUCCAGGAAUCUGAAUUUUGGCAAAACCCGCUGUUGACUCAGAGGCACCUGGA